rnacentral:rRNA from 1 species
UACGAAGGGGGCUAGCGUUGCUCGGAAUUACUGGGCGUAAAGCGCACGUAGGCGGCUUUCUAAGUCGGGGGUGAAAUCCUGGAGCUCAACUCCAGAACUGCCUUCGAUACUGGAGAGCUCGAGUCCGGGAGAGGUGAGUGGAACUGCGAGUGUAGAGGUGAAAUUCGUAGAUAUUCGCAAGAACACCAGUGGCGAAGGCGGCUAUCUGGACGGUUACUGACGCUAAGACGCGAAAGCGUGGGGAGCAAACAGG